GACGAACGCUGGCGGCGUGCCUAAUACAUGCAAGUCGAGCGACGUCUUUCUGGUGCUUGCACUAAACAAACUUAGCGGCGAACGGGUGAGUAACACGUAAAGAACCUGCCUCAUUGACUGGGACAACCAUUGGAAACGAUAGCCUAUACCGGCUAACAGUCUUCCUCUCAUGAGAGAUAUUCAUAAGUUGGUUAUGCUAACACUAUGCGAUGGCUUUGCGGUGGAUUAGCUAGUUGGUGGGGUAAAGGCCCACCAAGGCGACGAUGCGUAGCCGACCUGAGAGGAUGAUCAGCCACACUGGAACUGAGACACGGCCCAGACUCCUACGGGAGGCAGCAGUAGGGAAUCUUCCGCAAUGGGCGAAAGCCUGACGCAGCAACACCGCGUGGGUGAAGAAGGAUUUCGGUUCGUAAAGCUCUGUUGUUAGGGAAGAAUGGAUGUGUAGUAACUAUACGUGUAAGUGACGGUACCUAACCAGAAAGCCACGGCUAACUACGUG
rnacentral:rRNA from 1 species